rnacentral:tRNA from 1 species
GCGGCCGUGGUCUAGCCUGGUUAAGACUCAGGCCCUCCAAGCCUGAUACGCGGGUUCAAAUCCCGCCGGCCGCACCA